AACGAACGCUGGCGGCAUGCCUAACACAUGCAAGUCGAACGAGACCUUCGGGUCUAGUGGCGCACGGGUGCGUAACGCGUGGGAACCUGCCUUUAGGUUCGGAAUAACUCAGAGAAAUUUGAGCUAAUACCGGAUAAUGUCUUCGGACCAAAGAUUUAUCGCCUUUAGAUGGGCCCGCGUUGGAUUAGCUAGUUGGUGGGUAAAGGCCUACCAAGGCGACGAUCCAUAGCUGGUCUGAGAGGAUGAUCAGCCACACUGGGACUGAGACACGGCCCAGACUCCUACGGGAGGCAGCAGUGGGGAAUAUUGGACAAUGGGCGAAAGCCUGAUCCAGCAAUGCCGCGUGAGUGAUGAAGGCCUUAGGGUUGUAAAGCUCUUUUACCCGAGAUGAUAAUGACAGUAUCGGGAGAAUAAGCUCCGGCUAACUCCGUGCCAGCAGCCGCGGUAAAGUGACUACUG
rnacentral:rRNA from 1 species